AUCCAGAUUAAAGAACCAGAACUAUUAGGAGAUUAGAGGAGAAAAUGGGUAGUUAUGAAGGAAAAAAAUAAGGAAAGGGUGUUGUGGUCCAAGAACUAAUAC